rnacentral:rRNA from 1 species
UUAGAGUUUGAUCAUGGCUCAGAGUGAACGCUGGCGGCAGGCCUAACACAUGCAAGUCGAGCGGCAGCGCGGGGGCAACCCUGGCGGCGAGCGGCGGACGGGUGAGGAAUGCAUCGGAAUCUACCUUGUUGUGGGGGAUAACGUAGGGAAACUUACGCUAAUACCGCAUACGACCUACGGGUGAAAGAGGGGGACCUUCGGGCCUCUCGCGAUAAGAUGAGCCGAUGCCGGAUUAGCUAGUUGGUGGGGUAAAGGCCCACCAAGGCGACGAUCCGUAGCUGGUCUGAGAGGAUGAUCAGCCACACUGGAACUGAGACACGGUCCAGACUCCUACGGGAGGCAGCAGUGGGGAAUAUUGGACAAUGGGCGCAAGCCUGAUCCAGCCAUGCCGCGUGUGUGAAGAAGGCCUUCGGGUUGUAAAGCACUUUUGUUGGGGAAGAAACCGACCGGAUUAAUACUUCGGUUGAAUGACGGUACCCAAAGAAUAAGCACCGGCUAACUCCGUGCCAGCAGCCGCGGUACGCC